rnacentral:rRNA from 1 species
GAUGAACGCUGACAGAAUGCUUAACACAUGCAAGUCAACUGUGGCGGACGGGUGAGUAACGCGUAAAGAACUUGCCUCACAGGUAGGGCCAACAUUAGGAAACGAAUGCUAAUACCUAGUACUGUGAGAUAGGUUUGCGUCCCAUUAGCUAGUUGGAGAGGUAACGGCUCACCAAGGCGAUGAUGGGUAGCCGGCCUGAGAGUGGGAUCGGCCCCAAUGGGACUGAGACACGGCCCUUACUCCUACGUGAGGCAGCAGUGGGGAAUAGUGGACAAUGGACCAAAGUCUGAUCCAGCAAUUCUGUGUGCAAGAUGAAGUUUUCGGAAUGUAAAGUGCUUUCAGUUGGGAAGCGGUACCAACAGAAGAAGUGACGGCUAAAUACGUGCCAGCAGCCGCGGUAAUUC